CAAGAUGGUUCUAAAACCCAUUAAACUAUUUAUGGUAGCAAAGGUUUUCACGUAAAAUAAAAAAUGAAAAAAAAAGAUAUUGAUGAAAGAAAAACAAAUCAAAAGUUAGCUACCAACUAAUUAGUUAUUUCCAACUAAAUAGUUAGUUAUUUCCAACUAAACAGUUAGUUAUUUCCAACUAACUAGUCACCAAUAAUUAGUUAGUUACAUCGUGAAAAGUAUUCCUAAUAUGAGCCAAAGUUACAAUCAUACUUACAAUCACAAGGAUUUGGUUCGCCUCUCCAGCUUCCUCCUCGACGACGAAUCCUCUCAAGUCCGCCUCUGCUCGUUCCUCUCGUAGUUCCCUUCGCUCAGAGAGAGAGAGAGAGGAGUGGCGAAGAGGGGGAGGAGGAGAAGGUGAUUUAGGGCAUGGCAGCGGUGGCGAUCCAUCAGUUAGCGCAGUGCAUCACCUGCCAUGCUUGGUGCCCCGAUCAAUCUAGUCUACAAGAGCCUCCUCAUCGUUGUCUUCCUCGGUUUUCUAUUGAUCUUGGUUGCAUUUUAUCCAAACAGUCACGAGGUUCAUAUCUAUGAACUCUGUGGUGAAAAAUGGGAGAGGCUUAUCAAGAAGAAGCAUAAUUCUUCUGUUGCAAGUGUUGAAUGGCAUCCUAACAAUCUUCUUCUUGCAACAGCAUAUACUGAUGAUAAAUGUCGGGUUUUCUCCACUUUCAUCAAAGAUUUAGAUUCACGGACUUGAAGACUGAAACUGAAGUCCUUCUAGUUACCUCUAGAAGAGUCACGUGAGAUCCUGUACAUCAUAGAACAAUAUAUAGGCACAGCUGAAGUGGAUUAGUUACACAAUACAGAAAGGAUUUUGAUGCUAUGCUGUAUGGAUAUUGAGAUUAUGACUUUGUGCACUAAUAAGUAGAUGGAAGAAGUGAAGGAAAGGAAGCGUCAGCUCCAUCAGUUUUAAUAGUAUUUUUUUGCAGAAUAACACAUCAGCAGUAUUCAAAAGUUUGUAUCAUAAAAAUAAUCUUUCCUGGUAUAGUUCUCUUGUCCAUUGGUAUAGUCCAAGGUCUGGAAUUUUGUGUUUUCUUAAUGCUGAAAUGUAUCGGAAGUGCAUCAUGUUCCAUUUUUUCUGGUGCUGUCUAUCUUCAGCAGACCUCACUGCUGCAAUUGCUACCAUCGCACAAGAGCCUGCCCGUGCAUGGACCCUCCACGAAGGAAAGAAACACGCGACGACGGUGAUGGAACGCCAAGAUUCUGCACCCACUUGGAAGAGAUAGAGCAGCAUCAUGUGUCCUUUUACCUGGUGCAUGUACCUUGCAGAGCCGAGCUUUUAAGCAUACAGCGGACUUAUCGCAUCUUUGAUUGUGAUGACUCACAAGUCACCAGAACUACUGCUCCUUCCAAGUGCUUGUAUGUGCCCGAAACACCAAAGGAUCUGUAACGCCACUCUUGAUGUAGCUUUGAGCUCACAAAAUAGUUUAUCCAUUUAGAAUCUCAAAGCUUAGUGCCAUGCAUUCA